AUAACCUUAGACUGUCCCUUACUUAUCACUAAAUACUUUCCUUCAACCAAAACAAUACUUCACUCCAAUGACUAAAUAUCUAAGGAUGUGAUACCACAUCAGCAGCAUUCUGCAAGAGCAAACUUACAUUUGGCAAACUCUUCAAAAUGAUGCUGAAAGUCUUCAACAGUACUUCAGCCACUCAUAAGCAGAUUGCAGAGCAAGGCAGCAGUUGUUCCUCUCAAGAAAGAAAGCUUUUGGGAAUAUAGAAAUCUGUUAUACUACUUAUAUUAUAUUAACAAAGGAUCCUUGGCCCUCUUGUCUCUGUGAAAGUACAUACCAAUGUCAGUAGGGGAUUCUGUUUAAAUAUAGACGUCGAAUGGUUCUAACGUCAAGUGCCAAAGUGGCUGCUUUACAGUGACUCCAGCCAACUAUGUCCUCCUGAGCCUCCUUAGAAUUCUGACAAUUUUGGGGAGAAAUUUGUGCCAAAUAACAAUGAAUUUUAGAGAACAGUGAUGAUUUUAUAAAAUCAGUCAUAACAGCCUCCAUUUGUAAAGUGCCACUUAUAUGUUAUGAUUAUAAUAACAUUUCUGAUGCUACAAUAAAUAACAUUAAUAAGGAGUACAACAUAGUAUC